rnacentral:lncRNA from 1 species
CGCCGCUAGUGGCACCAUCCUUGCCCGACGAGCUUCUCGAGGAGAUCUUCCUCCGCUUCCCGCCGGAUGAGCCCUCAUUCCUCGUGCGCGCCUCACUUGCAAGUAAGCUCUGGUUCGGCCUUCUCACUAGCCCUAACUUCCAGAGCCGCUAUCGAGAGUUCCAUGGAGCUCUCCCCAUGUUGGGAUUCUUUUGUAAUCGGAUCGACACCUCCGACUCGGAUGAGGAGGAGGAAGAACCUGUAUCACACUUUGUUCCCACCAUGACAUCCGGCUCAUGCAUAUCCAAGGACGACUGGAUCGAUUCGAAGUAUGAUGUAUGGGAUUGCCGACAUGGUCAUGUUCUAUUUGGGGAAAAGGGUCGGAGAUCCACGAAGUUCAUCGUUCAGAACCCCAUGACGUCCCGCUGGACGGAGGUGCACACACCCAAAAGAUACAUGGUGGCCGAUAACCGUGUAGCCGCUGUGCUUUGUGCUAUGACCGGAUGUGACCACCGCCAGUGUCAUGAGGGCCCAUUCCGAUUGGUAUUUGCCUACUUGUAUGUGGGAGAGGGCGAGGACGAGGAUGAUUGUGUUGCAUACGCGGGUGUGUCCCUGCCAGAGAUGUGCAAUUGGAGCAAUCCAUGCUCUAAAUUUAUGAGCAAGCCAUGCUCUGAACCAUGGAGCAAGCGGUGGAGAGAUUCCUCUGGUCUUCAUGUUCCAUUUGGGGCAUGCAUCGAAUCAACCCCCCAGUCCUCAUCGAAGACUCACUCUACUUCAUACUUUCAUAUUAUGUUGAUGUUUGCAUAGGAAUUCUCAAGUACGACUUGAGCUCUAAUUGCUUAUCACUGCUUGAUGGGCCGCAAGUGGAGGAUGUCUUUGUCGGUGCGACCAUACUCAUGGCCACGGAGGACGACAGUUUGGGUCUUGCACACAUGGAUAGAUUAACCCUCUACUUGUGGUCAAGACAGAUGGGUUCCAAUGGAGUUGCAUCAUGGACUCAACGAACAAUCAUCGACCUCAAAAACCUUCUCCCCGUUCGAAAUCCUGAGAGAAGACCUAGACUAAUUGGAUCUGUGGAGGGCAGUGAUAUCCUUUUUGUGACUGUAGACCUUGGCGUCUAUGAGAUUAAUCUCAAUUCACUAAGGUGGAAGACCAUAUGGAAGACUGGAAGUUUACGUGCUUUGUUUCCAUACAUGAGUUUUUACAAUCCAAAAGGUACAUCUAUACCUAUAUGUCCUUUCUUAUGUGGUUUGUGAUCUAAUCUUAAGUCAUAAUAUAUAAGUUAGCGGAACAAACAAACCAUUGAAUGUCUAAUCUCAACUUUGAGUGUGAUGUAACACUCGAAGGUUGCAACUAAUUAUCCUUACUAAAUUGGAAAAUUUGCAUAUUAGCAUGGCAUAUCCUUUUUGGAAUCACAUCCACAAAUAUGUUUGCAGAAAGGGAGAUCCCCAGUGAUGUGACACAUUGACAAUCUAUGUUUGCAGAAAGGGAGGAUACUAAAUAAGGUUAAGGGCAGGCUGCCGCUUUCAUCAACGGGAAAGAUGAACGGACCACUUGGGAGUUGGAGGUGACAUGGGUCCUGUGAUCAAUCCUCUUGGGGUAGCUAUUGUAGUGCUGCUUGUUUUCUCAUCAUCUUGUUGCUUGAUAAUUUCCCUAUGUUGCUGGCAUGUGUAAGUGGGUGAACGAAUUAUCUUGUAAUGAACCUCUAGUUUCUUGCAGUAGCAUCAACCAUAGUUUGAUUAGUUUGUUAUUUUAAAAACUAUAUAGUUUGCUUAGUUUUCUACGUGACUCACAUCUCAAUUAAUAUUGUGAAUUCAGCUAUUGGUACAUGUCAAGUGCUGAUGUUACCAUAAUUAUAUUAGAACUACUGGAUGUUUGAUCAGAGAGUGCAAAGGCUACAAUGAUAAUUGCUACAACUAAC